AGUGAACGCUGGCGGUAGGCCUAACACAUGCUAGUCGAACGGCAGCACAGUAAGAGCUUGCUCUUACGGGUGGCGAGUGGCGGACGGGUGAGGAAUACAUCGGAAUCUACUUUUUCGUGGGGGAUAACGUAGGGAAACUUACGCUAAUACCGCAUACGACCUACGGGUGAGAGCAGGGGAUCUUCGGACCUUGCGCGAUUGAAUGAGCCGAUGUCGGAUUAGCUAGUUGGCGGGGUAAAGGCCCACCAAGGCGACGAUCCGUAGCUGGUCUGAGAGGAUGAUCAGCCACACUGGAACUGAGACACGGUCCAGACUCCUACGGGAGGCAGCAGUGGGGAAUAUUGGACAAUGGGCGCAAGCCUGAUCCAGCCAUACCGCGUGGGUGAAGAAGGCCUUCGGGUUGUAAAGCCCUUUUGUUGGGAAAGAAAAGCAGCAGGUUAAUACCCCGCUGUUCUGACGGUACCCAAAGAAUAAGCACCGGCUAACUUCGUG
rnacentral:rRNA from 1 species